rnacentral:lncRNA from 1 species
AUGGAACUGGAGUGUGGUAAAGCGUGUUGGGAUCAGGGAGAAUGUUCUCCCUAUCCUCAGUCUGUGGAAGAACAGUGGAAGUGGACUCUUGAUCAGGUGGUGAGUGACAUGAAAGAAGUCAGGGAAAGAGAAUUGGAUGCAAUAAAAAAGUUGUGGAAGGAUGCUCAGAAGCAAAAGAUUCUUCCUUCUCCAGAGGUGAAGGUUAACUUAACUGAAGCAUUGUGUAAGUGGGAGUCAGAAAUUCAUACUAUAUUACAGGAGCAUCUUGAUAAUCCAAAAUUAGGGUUUAUAGCAGGGAAAGCAUGGCAGAAACAGGGUAAGGAGUUAGAAGAUAAGCGCAGAAGGAUACAUGUUGUGGCUGUGGCAUGUGCAGCGGUGCACAAUUGCAGAUCUAAAGGGGUCACACGAGUGCCUAAUGUUGAGAAGCCUCCAUUAGAAGAUUUAAAUCAGACAUUGACACUUAACACCACUCUUUAUCCAUCAUUACCUACUACCUCUUCCCCACCCCCAUAUCAAUUGCCAGUUUUGACUGUUAACAGUGGUCAGUUAGAUGUGGACAGAGAUAAAGAACUGCAGGAGUUACGUGAGACAGUGUGUGAACUUUGGAGACAGGUCAGCAGAAUGAAACAGGGACAGGAAGAGAUUGAAGAUAACGUAGGAAAAAAUGAAUUUAGAGAGGAAGCUCAGGUGGUUCGCCCUAAAAUCUCCCAACAAACUACAUUUAAAAAACAGGAUAGUCAAAAAUCUACUUUAGAUAUUUUUAAAACACCUAGCAAUCAAAUAAAACAAGUGAAAAGAGUUGAUCCCUCAGGAGGUUUUGCCAGGGCUGAGCGCAGGGAGGAGAAGGCAAGAUUGAUUUAUGGCAGUGAUAAAGAGGAGAGUGAGAAUAAGAUAGAUACAUACAAAAUUCCGGCUACAUUUAUUGGAGAAUUGGAGCUUCCAGAGCAGGUUCAUCCUCAGACAGAAUUAUAUGAAAAGGAUCAGGGUUCAAGUACGGGAAAUUGUGAGUUAGAAUUGUGGGAGGAAAGUGAGUUGGCACAUGGGUUCCUUACGAGGUGUAAAGAGGAAUGGAUGUGUGCCACAGGGUGCCAUCCCGGCUCAGAUAAUUUGCAUACCACUUUAUUCCGUCAGGCCAUAACUUUAGGACUUCCACAAUCAGUAAAAGAAGCUAUGGAAGGAAAUCCUGACCUCCCAGGUAGCACAGCGGAAGUCUGGGAGAGACAUUUCUCUCACCACAUUAACAUAUAUAAAGCUAAACAACAGGGAAAGAAAGAGGGGGUGGUGACAGCGCAGGAACAGCUCCUAAGAAUGCAGUUAGAUGAGGCACGGAAAAAGCUUAAUGAUAAACGAAGGGAAGAGAAACAGAUGGGUCGGCGGUUUUUUUCGGCAGAUGCAGCCAGAUCCGUUAAGUCCGCAGCAAGAUUUUGUCCCUAG